rnacentral:rRNA from 1 species
AGUAGUCAUAGCUCGUCUCAAAGAUUAAGCCAUGCAUGUGUAAGUAUAAAUAGUUAACUUUGAAACUGCGAAUGGCUCAUUAUAUCAGUUAUAGUUUAUUUGAUGAAGAAUACUAAUUGGAUAACCGUAGUAAUUCUAGAGCUAAUACAUGUAUAAAGUCUUGUAGACUGCAUUUAUUAGAAUGAAAACCAUAGGUUUCGGCCUAUUCGUGAGUAAUAAUAACUAAUCAUAUCGUAUGCUUAUGUAACGAUGUGUCUUUCAAGUUUCUGCCCUAUCAGCUUUCGAUGGUAGUGUAUUGGACUACCAUGGCAGUAACGGGUAACGAAGAA